rnacentral:rRNA from 1 species
AACGAACGCUGGCGGCAGGCCUAACACAUGCAAGUCGAACGCCGUAGCAAUACGGAGUGGCAGACGGGUGAGUAACACGUGGGAACGUACCUUUCGGUUCGGAAUAACUCAGGGAAACUUGAGCUAAUACCGGAUACGUGCGAGAGCAGAAAGAUUUAUCGCCGAAAGAUCGGCCCGCGUCCGAUUAGCUAGUUGGUGAGGUAAUGGCUCACCAAGGCGACGAUCGGUAGCUGGUCUGAGAGGAUGAUCAGCCACACUGGGACUGAGACACGGCCCAGACUCCUACGGGAGGCAGCAGUGGGGAAUAUUGGACAAUGGGCGAAAGCCUGAUCCAGCCAUGCCGCGUGAGUGAUGACGGCCUUAGGGUUGUAAAGCUCUUUCGCCAGGGACGAUAAUGACGGUACCUGGAUAAGAAGCCCCGGCUAACUACGUG